GUCGUCGCGAUAUUGACACAAGCAGUACGCAAGCGCGACCGGCCAACGACACACAGUCGCAAACACAGGUCGAUAGUCUACACCGCCUACCAUCAGUUACCACUCGUACAGCCCGACGACCGUCACAACUUUAGUACACUCUCCGGUUUGAUGCGUUAUCAGGCGUUUGUGUUCGGGAUUAUUUGCAUUUUGUUGUUGCAUUCAUAAUUAUUAUAAUAUACCGUAGUCGCUACUCAUCAUGGUGUUAUGAUAAUAUUAUUAUAGUAUGAAUCCGACAAUCAGUACGUUCGUCCUUAUGUUAACAAUACAAGUGGUGUUGACGCGUAAGAAUAUUUUUCAUUAAUCAAGUAUUGUAUGUGCAGGUUAGUUGGCUGGCUGGCGCUACUGCGGCUCUGGUGGUGCGGAACGCGACUACGUUGUCCACUCAUGUACAAUUCUUUGUACUCCCGGGUAUCUGUCUGAUCGAUUGAGUUCGAUUUUUUAACGUUCCGUAGAAAUUUACGUCAUCACCAGCAAUGAUUAAGUCAUAAAAAACAGCGGCUUGACUGUCAACGACCAAGAAUCAGGAAUCCAGGUCGGUACCGAAAUUGAAAAUUAAAAUACCUUUUGGUUGGUUAGCCGUAACGUAAUUUUUAUUGAUCAUUUUUACGCCUUUUUAUUUUAGUCACAAUAAAACGUACAUGUAUACCUUUUAUUAUUUGAGUUCAAUGUAUGGUCUUCCUCAGUGGCCUAAUUAAUCGAUUCGG